rnacentral:rRNA from 1 species
AGUUUGAUCCUGGCUCAGGAUGAACGCUGGCGGCGUGCCUAACACAUGCAAGUCGAGCGAAGCAUACAGGAGGAAGUUUUCGGAUGGAAUCCUGCAUGACUGAGCGGCGGACGGGUGAGUAACGCGUGGGUAACCUGCCUUAUACAGGGGGAUAACAGUUAGAAAUGACUGCUAAUACCGCAUAAGCGCACAGUACCGCAUGGUAGUGUGUGAAAAACUCCGGUGGUAUAAGAUGGACCCGCGUCUGAUUAGCCAGUUGGCGGGGUAACGGCCCACCAAAGCGACGAUCAGUAGCCGACCUGAGAGGGUGACCGGCCACAUUGGGACUGAGACACGGCCCAAACUCCUACGGGAGGCAGCAGUGGGGAAUAUUGCACAAUGGGGGAAACCCUGAUGCAGCAACGCCGCGUGAGUGAAGAAGUAUUUCGGUAUGUAAAGCUCUAUCAGCAGGGAAGAAGAUGACGGUACCUGAUUAAGAAGCCCCGGCUAACUACGUG